CCAAGAGAAUGUUGGGCUUCUAAGACACUCUGUUUGGAAGUUUGUCUUCUUCUUGGCACAAAAUGGCCAAGAACUGGGCAAAGAACUGUCCUUGCCUCAACUGUAGACAAAAUGAACACUGUCCUUUCUGAACUAGCAGGACACAAGGAAGAGUGACUGGUAAACCUUGCCAAGACAGGGAUAUACAAACCACAGAAUUCCGAUGACUCAUCCCAAAAUAGCUUAUGAAUAUGCCAGGGCGGAAGGGCAUGCUGUUUGCUUCUUUAAGACUUCCUGCCAAACUGAAGGAAAAAAAAUGAGAAACCGAACAUACGAAGAUAUUUGGGACUAACUGAGGAGCAUGGGUCUGCCAUUGCAUGAGUGUGGAGGAUAGAGGCCAACUUGAAAUCAUCUGUAUGAUGAGACCGUGAGUAAAAGAGACAAAAUUCUCACCGUAGUUCUAAGGCAACGGGGCAGGUGUGAUGCUCACAGUCAUUCUUAAAAGCUCUUACAGGUGAGAUUUGAACACAUUCUUCUCUGUUCAUUUCAACAAAUCCUAAAGAGCCAAGCACAUGGGAUCAGAAUCUGGGAUCUAUGACUUCCAAAAGAUGGAAGAAGCACACAGUAGAACAGCAGAGAGGGGUGAAACACCCCAGGGAGGCAACCCGGUUGAAGUUCCGCCCUUGCACCACUGCUUCGGCAACUUCUGACCACCCACAGUGCAGUAUUUUGUUCUGAUAAUCAUCUGUCUUUAAUUCUGCUGCUGUCACUGCUUCUCUGCUCUCCUGCCAGCCCAAGCCCUGAUGUUUGCUGGCUUCCCAAACAUUUGUGACCUCACUUUCUGUGCCUCACCUUUUAUGUCAACAUGGAUGGAUGGACACAGCCCGAGGCAUACCGUCUGUAAAUCUACUAGAUGGACAGAUCUAGACUUUAAGUGGGUAACAGAAGGUGCUGCUGGAGAGUGGAAGGCAUCAGGCGCAAGUCGAGAUUGUACAAGUAUACUUUACAUUAAGGUUCACAUUUACAUUUUUCUCAAGAGAGAGGAGUGGCCCAUGAAAAAGAACACCCACUAAAAUAUAACACCCAUAAAUAAACUCUCAACCUGCUAAGGCUUCUGUA